AUCACUCCUGGGGCAAAAGUGAUGGAGCAUCCAGAGGCACUAAGCCACUGCUUGGAUGGCAGAGCUGGUGUAAGAUCCUAGAGUCACUUGCGUUUGGCCCUUCAAAAGUUAAUCAGAGCCAGGAGGUCAUUGGAGAAUAGUUUGUAAACAUGCCUUUCUAAUACCCAUGUCUGUCUACUGGGCAGGAACUUGCCAGUCAUCUGUAACAGUGGAGAGUCAAGUUACAUUUCUUAAAUGAAUGAAUA